rnacentral:rRNA from 1 species
CAGGAUGAACGCUGGCGGCGUGCUUAACACAUGCAAGUCGAGCGAUGAAGUUUCCUUCGGGAAACGGAUUAGCGGCGGACGGGUGAGUAACACGUGGGUAACCUGCCUCAUAGAGUGGAAUAGCCUUCCGAAAGGAAGAUUAAUACCGCAUAACGUUGAAAGAUGGCAUCAUCAUUCAACCAAAGGAGCAAUCCGCUAUGAGAUGGACCCGCGGCGCAUUAGCUAGUUGGUGGGGUAACGGCCUACCAAGGCGACGAUGCGUAGCCGACCUGAGAGGGUGAUCGGCCACAUUGGGACUGAGACACGGCCCAGACUCCUACGGGAGGCAGCAGUGGGGAAUAUUGCACAAUGGGGGAAACCCUGAUGCAGCAACGCCGCGUGAGUGAUGAAGGUUUUCGGAUCGUAAAGCUCUGUCUUUGGGGAAGAUAAUGACGGUACCCAAGGAGGAAGCCACGGCUAACUACGUGCCAGCAGCCGCGGUAAUACGUAGGUGGCGAGCGUUAUCCGGAUUUACUGGGCGUAAAGGGAGCGUAGGCGGAUGAUUAAGUGGGAUGUGAAAUACCCAGGCUCAACUUGGGUGCUGCAUUCCAAACUGGUUAUCUAGAGUGCAGGAGAGGAGAGUGGAAUUCCUAGUGUAGCGGUGAAAUGCGUAGAGAUUAGGAAGAACACCAGUGGCGAAGGCGACUCUCUGGACUGUAACUGACGCUGAGGCUCGAAAGCGUGGGGAGCAAACAGGAUUAGAUACCCCUGGUAGUCCACGCCGUAAACGAUGAAUACUAGGUGUGGGGGUUUCAACACCUCCGUGCCGCCGCUAACGCAUUAAGUAUUCCGCCUGGGGAGUACGGUCGCAAGAUUAAAACUCAAAGGAAUUGACGGGGACCCGCACAAGUAGCGGAGCAUGUGGUUUAAUUCGAAGCAACGCGAAGAACCUUACCUACACUUGACAUCCCUUGCAUUACUCUUAAUCGAGGAAAUCCCUUCGGGGACAAGGUGACAGGUGGUGCAUGGUUGUCGUCAGCUCGUGUCGUGAGAUGUUGGGUUAAGUCCCGCAACGAGCGCAACCCUUGUCGUUAGUUGCUACCAUUAAGUUGAGGACUCUAGCGAGACUGCCUGGGUUAACCAGGAGGAAGGUGGGGAUGACGUCAAAUCAUCAUGCCCCUUAUGUGUAGGGCUACACACGUGCUACAAUGGCUGGUACAGAGAGAUGCAAUACCGCGAGGUGGAGCCAAACUUAAAAACCAGUCUCAGUUCGGAUUGUAGGCUGAAACUCGCCUACAUGAAGCUGGAGUUACUAGUAAUCGCGAAUCAGAAUGUCGCGGUGAAUACGUUCCCGGGUCUUGUACACACCGCCCGUCACACCAUGAGAGUUGGCAAUACUCGAAGUCCGUGAGCUAACCGCAAGGAGGCAGCGGCCGAAGGUAGGGUCAGCGAUUGGGGUGAA